GCAAACGAUCCUGCAAGGCGGGCCAGUUGAGGAAGAGAAGUGCAGUGUACCCCUGAGCUCUGGUCUGUGUCUUGUGCCCCAGCCCACACCUGAGAUUCUGUAAUGGCUGCACCGUUUCCUGACCUGUUCAGCGUUAACACCUGGGAAGUUGUCUGGAUGGAUCAAGCCAAGGAGAUCUCUUGACAACUUAUAAUAAGAGCAGGACCAUCCUUCAUCUCCACGCUGGCCCCUGAACAGGAAACAGAAAAUGAAGAACGGCUCCCAGUGAGUGUGAUUUUCUGCCUUCCUGACCCAGUGCUGAGGCGGGAGAAGGCUCAUCCUUCAUGCUGCUUCCUCCGUGCCAGAAGGCGGCACUCACCUCAGGGCACCGAGCAUCUUUCACCUGGAUGGAGUCCUGGAUCUGACGAGAGUCAGAGCUCAUUUUGUUAAUCUUCCAAAUCCUAUCAGAGAUCAACCCCUGGCAGAGGUCUGAAUCUGAACACGAAAGGAAAUAUAGGAGUCAAGAGAGAGUGUACACGCAUUAACCAUUGCCUCUCAACGAGGCAUCAUGCCAAAUACUUCUCAGGUGUCAUCGUAUAUAACUUUCAAACACGCUCAGAAGCAGGGUCUGGAAGG